UAAAUGAUAAAUGUCUCAGUUUUAAAAUAUCGCAUGGAACAAAGAAAAGCACAGCCUGAAAUCAAUGUAGACAAUAUAUGAAGGUUGCUUCAGGGGAAUGUUACACCAAGGACAACAACAAACGUGCAUACUGUAUUAACUGCUAUGAGAAGGUAAAGAACAGUAUUUUAGGCAUAAAUCAGCAAGAGGCUAAAACUAGUUACCUUUAUGAAAGUACACAUAAGAUAGGCUAUAAUGUCGUAUCCGAGGUUCGACUUAAAGCGGCUUUGGGACUCGCACCGCUCCGCCUUAGCUGCUACUAAUAGUCCAGCCGUGGCGUCUGUUUUAAAACAAUUUGGAGCUUCAGUGACAAUCGAAUCACACGUAGCCGCUGAUACUACAUCAAGAGACAAACCGAACAAAAAUAAUGAAAAUGCGCCGCUUUUUCACGUUCAUAACAGGUCUUGCCAUCGCCGGUGCCCUAAGCGACAUGACAGUGGAUGUAAAAAGAGGACAAAACGUCACCCUUCCGGUUAAAAUACCUGAAAUGGGGGAUGUCAAUCGAGUGACCCUUUGUGAACUUUUCAAAAACGGCACACAAGUUCCCAUCUUCCGCUACUGCUCUGACAUUGAGAAGAAGAGAGGGUGCCCCGCCAUCGACACCGACCGAUUCUCACUCCAGCUUGGAUCUGAUAAUGUUUCUGUGAUCAUUCGUGAUGCCAGUGCCGCUGACGCAGGAACAUACAAUGUCGAAGUGAUCGGGAACAACGUGAUCGAGGAAACUUUCACCGUUGUAUUCAAAGAAAAACCUGAAGAAACUUGAUUUCCUCGACUGCACAGUGGAUUCAGAAGUGGCAGACAGUCAAUCAAGCAUCUCUGGAGCAGAUGAAUGUGAGACAGCUGAAUCCUCUGAGGAACUCUGCUUGGUGGACAUGCAGGAGAAGAAACCAGAAGACCUUGACAGCACCCAUCCAGAUGCACUUCAUUUAAUCAAUAAUAAUAAUAAUAGUACUAGUAGUAAUAAUGAUAGCAGCAGCAAUAAUAAUUGUUUUUAUAUAUAAAUAUUUCUGUCAUGACGACUCUCGGAGGGAUUGGCAUGAUAAUGUACAUGACAAUGUUAAUGUAUUUGUUCUUGGGGGAAUAGAUCUGCUGUAGAGCAAGUACCGAGACUUGCUACUGAUACAUCCACGACAUGCUGCUGUGAGCAUGUAAGAAAUAUUGCUGCUGAAAAUAUAACACAUUUUUGAAGCAGACACAGAACAUUCCUGCAGUGUGUUCUGCUCUGUAAUGAGUGGAUAAAUAUGGGCAGACAGCAACGUUUUUAUAUUUAGAAGGGAACAAGCAUCCCUUUUUCAUAAAAUUUUUUUAAGGGUGUCAGGAAUAGAUGAUCUUUUUCCCUGAACACCA